UAAAGAUCAAGUAUGAAGAGAGUAAGUGGUGAUUGGAUUCACAGCGAGUUAGGAUAGAGUGGAAGCCUAAUAUGACGACAUCACUGAAACGCACUUCAUAGAUAAAUUGGUGAGAGCAAGUAGCCAGUUUCGCUGAUGCAGCGUUAACAAAAUCGAGUGAAUUCAAUUGUUUGUCAAUUUGAGUUAACUAGAGUGGUACCACGGAUAAGCCUCGUCUCUAUG
rnacentral:ncRNA from 1 species